AUUGAACGCUGGCGGCGUGCCUAACACAUGCAAGUCGAGCGGUAACAGGUGUAGCAAUACAUGCUGACGAGCGGCGAACGGGUGAGUAAUGCUUCGGAAUCUACCCAAUGGUGGGAUACCAGCCGAAAGGUUGGCUAAUACCGCAUACGUCCCACGGGACGAAAGCAGGGGAUCGCAAGACCUUGCGCCAAUGGAUGAGCCGAAGUCGGAUUAGCUAGUUGGAGGGUAACGGCCGUACCAAGCGACGAUCCGUAGCUGGUCUGAGAGGACGACCAGCCACACUGGGACUGAGACACGGCCCAGACUCCUACGGGAGGCAGCAGUGGGGAAUA
rnacentral:rRNA from 1 species